rnacentral:rRNA from 1 species
GACGGGGGGUCCAAGCGUUGUUCGGAAUCAUUGGGCGUAAAGCGUGUGCAGGUGGCUCUGUAAGUCGGAUGUGAAAUCCCCAGGCUCAACUUGGGAACUGCAUCCGAUACUGGAUGGCUUGAAUUCGGGAGAGGGAUGCAGAAUUCCAGGUGUAGCGGUGAAAUGCGUAGAUAUCUGGAGGAAUACCGGUGGCGAAGGCGGCAUCCUGGACCGACAUUGACGCUGAGGAGCGAAAGCUAGGGGAGCAAACGGG